GACGUAGGGUGCGAGCGUUGUCCGGAUUUAUUGGGCGUAAAGAGCUCGUAGGCGGCUCGUCGCGUCGACCGUGAAAACCCGCGGCUUAACUGCGGGCUUGCGGUUGAUACGGGCGGGCUAGAGUUCGGUAGGGGAGACUGGAAUUCCUGGUGUAGCGGUGAAAUGCGCAGAUAUCAGGAGGAACACCGGUGGCGAAGGCGGGUCUCUGGGCCGAUACUGACGCUGAGGCGCGAAAGCCAGGGGAGCAAACGGG
rnacentral:rRNA from 1 species